UUUCUACUCCCUCCGUCCAAAAAUACUUGUCAUCAAAAUGGAUAAAAAUAGAUGUAUCUAAAACUAAAAUACGUCUAGAUACAUUUCCUUUUAUCCAUUUUGAUGACAAGUAUUUCCGGAUGGAGGGAGUAUUUA
rnacentral:pre_miRNA from 1 species